UGUAUGCCUCCCUGUUCUCUAGAAGCCCACUUUUCAUUCGGCUUUUAUCUAUUCCAAAGGAGAAAGCGGCACCCAUCUAGAAUCCACAUUAUUUUAAUCCUCUCAAUUAAUUAAUUCCUGUGUUAGAUUCAAAAUUGAAAAUGAGUUCCCAGCGAUUGAUUGGGACUCUCUUUCUUUGUCGCUUUAUUUAUUUGUGAUAUAUAUGAUCCAGCUUCCUGCUUCAUUUCUUCAGUCCAUAGCAUAGCAAGGAUGGGUCUCCGCCUUCCCAAGCCUCAUCUUCCUCUCCUCCUCCUCCUCGUCUCCCUGCUUUUUCUCCUCCGUCUCACCUCUCCCACGGCCGCGGAAGCCCGGCCUCUCCCUAAUUCCCUACCUCAUCAACAACAACAACAACAACAGCAGAGAAUCUCAAAUCUGUUUGCGACGCUGGGGAUGGAGUGCAAGUGCUGCGACGGCGGAGAAUGCACAGGCGCAUGGGUCAAGCCUUGCUCCGACCUCCAAUGCCUGCCAUGGAAGCUCCAUUAGCAUUCAUUAUUUUGUGCACAAUUAAUUAAUGUUAAUCUUUGGCUGUACUGUACAUGUAGGGAUAUAUAGCUAAAUAUAUAUAGACAGCUGUCGGUUGCGUGUAUUUAUUUUUAUAUAUAUAUAUAUAGCUAAAUUCAAUGAAGUGGGUUCCGGCCCAGCAGCUUGAGUUUUCCGGCCA